rnacentral:ribozyme from 1 species
UUUUUUUUUUUUUUUUUUUUUUUUUUAUACAGAAACGAUUGCCUUCUUUGUGCACACGGUAAGGUUGCUCUCGAAAGAAUCCCUUUCCGGGUUGGGUGAGUUCAGUUACCAAAAAUAAAAAAGACCUUGGUUGCUUUUUAUUCUGGUUCUGUUUUUUU